rnacentral:lncRNA from 1 species
GCAAGCCAAUAUGUUUUGAGAGGAAAAGAAACAAAAAGUCAUACAUCAUUGUGUUAAUAUCUAACCAGUAACAUUUAUAUAAUUCUUUGAGCUACUAGCAGUUGAAGUAGAAGAAUCUAUCUAUAUUGGCGUAACUGGUAAAGUUACUGCUAGGUGACUAGGAGGCCACGGGUUCGAACCAUGGAAACAGCCUCUUGCAGAAAUAUAGGGUAAGACUACGUACAAUAGACCCUUGUGGUUUGGCCCUUCCCCGGAUCUUGCGCAUAGCGGGAGCUUAGUGCACCGGCUGCCCUUUUGUUGGAGUCAUCCUAUAGACUGAAGGGAAGCUUGGAGCAAUGACAAAGUUAUCUUCAUGUAUGACUUGUAGGUCACGGAUUUAAGCCACGGAAUCAGCCAAGGUGCCUACAUCACACCCCCUCGGGAUGGCGCCCUUCCUCGGACCCUGUGUAUUUUGAGAAUGAAAUUCCAACUCACUUCCAAGAGUAAAGAGCAGGAAGAAAAAGGAGCAAGGAUUUUGACAAAAGCAAAAAAAAAAAAUCUAAAAGGUAGAUCACUUGUGACCUAGUAUGAUCCCACUUAGUAGGGUCUGGUGAGGGUAGUGCGUACGCAGACCUUACCCCUAACCUAGAGUAGAGAGGCUGUUUCCAAAUAGACCCUGGCAUCCUUCCCUCCAAGAACUUUUCACCUUGCUUAC